AGCGAACGCUGGCGGCAGGCUUAACACAUGCAAGUCGAACGGUCCUUCGGGAUAGUGGCGGACGGGUGAGUAACACGUGGGAACGUACCCUUAGGUUCGGAACAACACAGGGAAACUUGUGCUAAUACCGGAUAAGCCCUUCGGGGGAAAGAUUUAUCGCCUUUGGAGCGGCCCGCGUCUGAUUAGCUUGUUGGUGAGGUAAUGGCUCACCAAGGCUACGAUCAGUAGCUGGUCUGAGAGGAUGGCCAGCCACACUGGGACUGGGACACGGCCCAGACUCCUACGGGAGGCAGCAGUGGGGAAUCUUGCGCAAUGGGCGAAAGCCUGACGCAGCCAUGCCGCGUGGAUGAUGGAGGUCUAGGAUUGUAAAAUCCUUUCACCGGGGACGAUAAUGACGGUACCCGGAGAAGAAGCCCCGGCUAACUUCGUGCCAGCCGCCGCUGUAA
rnacentral:rRNA from 1 species